UUAUAAUAAUAAUUCUAUAGUUUGCUUUAAUGUACAUCUGCGAAUCUGUUUAGUUUGAUUUCGCUGCUUCGUGCAAUCGUACAAAAUAAGUGUGACGUUUGUGUGCUUUUGGUGGCGAUCAAAAUAAUCAUGCGAUAUAAUUCACAAAGCGCAAAAAAAUCGAAUCAUCUAAAAUCCGAUUAAACUUUAUAAUAUAUCAGGCAUAAUUUCAGCACAGGGAUUGGUCUAAUGAUGAGGAGAGUGUUAAACCGUUAGACUCCAUUUUAAAAACCGACGAAACGAAAACAUCGUGCGAAUUUUAGAGGCGUCCGCGGAUGGAGACAUUGGAAGACAAUCGAAGAUGCAAGGAAACUACUUAGCACCAGGCAAGCCGAUAUUUUUCAAUACUUCUGUCUUCUUACGGGGUGGCCAACGAACUUUCGGCAAUCCAUUGAGUUAUCUCGGUGGUCCGAAAUUACCACCGAGAAACAAAUCUUCUGUCGAAUCGAUAUUAUCAUUGGAUUGAUUAUGGAUCAUUCGUACUUUGCUUUAAGGGACUAUUACGUACAUUCACAAAAGCAACGAAUCGUAUUUCUCAAUCGAGAACGGAAAGUCUCGAACUUGUUGAGUGUCAAAUUCAUAAAUAUAAUUCACAACAAAUUUAUAAGUUAUUAUUUUAAAUUUUUAUAUCAAGCACAUUAAAAUAGAAAAAAAGCAACCGUGCCAAAUUGUCCAAACAGCACAAAAGUCUAAAAUAUACGUCAGAAAGAUGAUUGUGUAUAUUUGAAAUAUACUUUAGACGUCUCAUGAACUUUCAAAUAAUGAAGUUAAUCGUUUAAUCUAAUAAUUAUUAUAAAAAAUCAAUGUUCAUUAGAUAAUUUAAUUAAUGUUAAAAGGAAGAACGCAUUUUAUACACUUAACACAUUUGAUAUUUUCCGUUUUCAGCUCAUCUUUCAUUAUCACAGAGUUAUCCGCUUCUCGAAAGGCUCGUGUUAAUAGCUCGCGCCGAGCUAAAUAGUUUCAUCAAAAACAGAUUCGCUCGGACCAAUAUUCGCGAUCAGCGAAUUUUACUCGUGACAAGACGUUAUAGUUGCUGAUAAGAAUUUAAAAGGUGAUAAUGAGCUUAACGAUAAUAGCUAGUGAUCGUGACGAACUCGAUAUAUUCUCUUUGCAGCUGAUAGAAGCUGUCGUGCUCAAAUAUAUCGUUCCAUACAAUCUCAUGAGGGUGCUUGUAAAAAGAAUACCUUAUAAGUCCGUUAGAAUAAUUUCUUAUUUCUAUUAUUGUAAAGCGAACUCAUAAAAUAAUUUUUCCAUUCUUGAAGAAUCUCAAAAAUAUAAACAAACUCACUCUUUCUUUAUCCUUCUCCUUCCAAAUUUUAUUAUUAGAAAUUAGUACAUCACAAACAAACUGAAGGCAAUUUUGAUCGAAUUAUGAUUAACUCAAUUGGCGAUUAAGUCAAAUCAAAGCUUAAAUUUCGGAUUAUAAUUUAUUGUCCGAUUUACUCCUUUAUUUUGUUA